ensembl:lncRNA
UCACACAGGCCAGGGAUGGGUCCUGCACGGAUCUGAACUUGUCAGUGCUGGGGGACCCUGGGUGGAUUGUCUAGUCUCUCUGAACCUCACCAUCCUCUUCAGUGAACAGAGGUGCCUCUUCUCUCCUGAAAGACCUCCAGGGGCUAAAAAGAUGCAAUGAGACCAUAUGGGCCUUCGUAUGUGGGGACUGUUCUCUGGCCUAUAAAACAGGGAUAUUUCCCUUGACUUGGUAGAGCUGAUGUGAACACUUGCAAGAUGCCUCAGGUAGUCCCUCCGCAUAGUGUGUGGCACCCAGCAGGAGUGCCCCAAGAGCAGCCACUUCGGUAACUAAAUGGCCAGGCACCUGCUGUGCUGGUCAACUUGGCCGAGUGCUUAGUGACCGUCGGCCAAACCCAUGGCUCUCUGAGGGUCUCGUCUUCCUGGGCCUCUUUGUUCCAGGCAGUUCAGCCACCGACAGACUUCACUUAGGAGUGAUAUCAGCCUGCCUCUGGACAAAGUGGGCCCCAGGACUAUGUCUAGGGCUGUGAGCCUGGACUGGGAGAGAGACCCUGUGACAUCUAGAGGAUUUGAAGUCGACUCUUGUCUCCACCUGCUCCCUGAUGUGGAGGUCCGGCAGACGUCUCUCUACUCCUCCUGCAGGAGAGGGGCAGGCUUGUGUGGACGCUAUUGUGACUCGUUCAUCUGCAGCUGUGUGGGCGCAGGCCGCUGACUGCUCACAGCUGCCCUGUCUGCAGAGAGGGGAGUGAUCCCAGCCACUCCUCAGGACAAGCCAUCAGCCGACCAAUGACAGGUCAAGGUGGGGUAGAAGGCCUGAGCCCUUUGCUGGGAGUGUGGUCUCUUUCUUAACUGAUUUAUGUUCCAGCACAGCCCAUGCAUCAGGUCAAAGGUGGCCCUGCCCUGAGACCCCACCCUCCUCUUUUCAUUCCCUCCACUGCUUCCCUCACUCCUCUGGCUUAGCGUGGAAAAGCGCUCCCUCAGCAAGUCAGGAGCCCAGACCUUUGCCUCCGGCUCUGCUUCUGAGGAGCCCAGACCUCAGGCAAGCUGCUGGUGUGGAGCCUGCGUGAGCCUCAGCAC